rnacentral:rRNA from 1 species
GGCGGCGGCCUAACACAUGCAAGUCGAGCGGUAACAGAAAGUAGCUUGCUACUUUGCUGACGAGCGGCGGACGGGUGAGUAAUGCCUGGGAAUAUGCCUUGAUGUGGGGGAUAACUAUUGGAAACGAUAGCUAAUACCGCAUAAUGUCUUCGGACCAAAGAGGGGGAUCUUCGGACCUCUCGCGUCAAGAUUAGCCCAGGUGAGAUUAGCUAGUUGGUGGGGUAAGAGCUCACCAAGGCGACGAUCUCUAGCUGGUCUGAGAGGAUGAUCAGCCACACUGGAACUGAGACACGGUCCAGACUCCUACGGGAGGCAGCAGUGGGGAAUAUUGCACAAUGGGCGAAAGCCUGAUGCAGCCAUGCCGCGUGUAUGAAGAAGGCCUUCGGGUUGUAAAGUACUUUCAGUCGUGAGGAAGGGUGUGCAGUUAAUAGCUGUACAUCUUGACGUUAGCGACAGAAGAAGCACCGGCUAACUCCGUGCCAGCAGCCGCGGUAAUACGGAGGGUGCGAGCGUUAAUCGGAAUUACUGGGCGUAAAGCGCAUGCAGGUGGUUCAUUAAGUCAGAUGUGAAAGCCCGGGGCUCAACCUCGGAACCGCAUU